rnacentral:rRNA from 1 species
AUUGAACGCUGGCGGUAUGCUUUACACAUGCAAGUCGAACGGUAACAGGUUAAGCUGACGAGUGGCGAACGGGUGAGUAAUACAUCGGAACAUGCCCAGUCGUGGGGGAUAACUAUCCGAAAGGAUAGCUAAUACCGCAUACGAUCCAAGGAUGAAAGCGGGGGACCGAAAGGCCUCGCGCGAUUGGAGUGGCCGAUGUCAGAUUAGGUAGUUGGUGGGGUAAAGGCUCACCAAGCCAACGAUCUGUAGCUGGUCUGAGAGGACGACCAGCCACACUGGAACUGAGACACGGUCCAGACUCCUACGGGAGGCAGCAGUGGGGAAUUUUGGACAAUGGGCGCAAGCCUGAUCCAGCAAUACCGCGUGCAGGAAGAAGGCCUUCGGGUUGUAAACUGCUUUUGUACGGAGCGAAAAGGUCUUUCCUAAUACGAGAGGCUGAUGACGGUACCGUAAGAAUAAGCACCGGCUAACUACGUGCCAGCCGCCGCAGUAA